CUGGAUUUCAAGCCUGAAGCUUCAUCGCUCACUUGUUUUUAUGCUACUUUCUUUAGAGUGGGAAGCAGGUUCCAGUUGACUGGCUCAAGACAUUUUAGCAUUGUAUAUUAUGCUGACUUCACUCUCACAUGCCCUCAGGGCUAUAAUCCAUCAAAAGGAGAGGGCUAGAAAACUGAAACAUGGACAGCUGAAAAGGGAUUCGCUCAAGCACAUAGAUCAAGAUUUUGGCAAGAUGAGGAAACCCUGCCACAGAGGAUGCAAGCAGCCAUGAAGUGGAUGAGAUUUAACCUGAGCAGCCCAGCCCCAGAUUAAGGAUGUUAGUAGCUAUACUACCCACACACACAUUUUCAAAAUAAAGCAGUUCUAUUUU